GCAAGCAUGGUGUAGUGGUUUCAGCACUGGACUAUAACUCUGUAAAUCAGGGUUCAAUUCCCUGCUUGGC